rnacentral:rRNA from 1 species
ACGGGGUAUGACUGUUGCAGUCAAUUUCUCACCUUCUGGAGAAAUAUGAUGUCCUUAAUUGGGUGUCAUAUGGAACCAGGACUUUUACCUUGAAAAAAUUAGAGUGUUUAAAGCAAGCUUAUUGCUCGAAUACAUUAGCAUGGAAUAAUAAAAUAGGACGGCAUGAUUCUAUUUUGUUGGUUUCUAGGAUCACCGUAAUGAUUAAUAGGGAUAGUUGGGGGCAUUAGUAUUCAAUUGUCAGAGGUGAAAUUCUUGGAUUUAUUGAAGACUAACUACUGCGAAAGCAUUUGCCAAGGAUGUUUUCAUUAAUCAAGAACGAAAGUUAGGGGAUCGAAGACGAUCAGAUACCGUCGUAGUCUUAACCAUAAACUAUGCCGACUAGGAAUCAGACGAUGUUAAUUUUUUAAUGACUCGUUGGGCACCUUACG